GAUGAACGCUAGCGGCAGGCUUAACACAUGCAAGUCGAGGGGUAGAGGUUGCUUGCAACCUUGAGACCGGCGCACGGGUGCGUAACGCGUAUGCAACCUACCUUUUACAGAGGGAUAGCCCAGAGAAAUUUGGAUUAAUACCUCAUAGUAUAUAACCUUCGCAUGUUGGUUAUAUUAAAGUUCUCACGGUAAAAGAUGGGCAUGCGUCCUAUUAGCUAGAUGGUAAGGUAACGGCUUACCAUGGCAACGAUAGGUAGGGGUCCUGAGAGGGAGAUCCCCCACACUGGUACUGAGACACGGACCAGACUCCUACGGGAGGCAGCAGUGAGGAAUAUUGGACAAUGGGCGCAAGCCUGAUCCAGCCAUGCCGCGUGCAGGAAGAAGCAUCUAUGGUGUGUAAACUGCUUUUGUACAGGAAGAAACACCCCGACGUGUCGGGGCUUGACGGUACUGUAAGAAUAAGGAUCGGCUAACUCCGUGCCAGCAGCCGCCGUAAGAC
rnacentral:rRNA from 1 species